CAAGGAUCAUACACAAGGAGGGCACUGGCCACCUGACUGCAGAGAGCCACUGCUGUGGAGUCACAAAGCGAAGCCUACCCUGUGGGAGAGCCAGGAACAUUUCUGACUUGUGGAAGGCCUGGGGCACCAUGGCAAAGGAGCAAGUGAGAUGGGCCAUCCUAAACGGCUGUCGCAUGCCAGGAUGAAGGGCCAUGCAUCCAUUCAUUUGGCUGGAUACUAAGGACAGAGCCAUGCAUCUGUUCAUCUCAUGGACACAAAGACAAGUUUCCUGGUGUCUUCCUGCAAGACAGAAUCAUGCAUCAGUUUAUUUGCCUGAGUACUAAGGUAACUCUUCCUUUGUCUUCCCACAGGACAGGGCCAUGCUUCUGUUCAUCUACUGGGACACUAAGGAAUCUGCAAGGAAUCUAUUCAUCAGCUUGGAUACUAAGACAGAGCCAUGCAUCUAGUCAUCUUCUUGGAUACUAAGGAAAGGCUGCUUCUGUCUUUGUGCAAGACAGGGCUAUGCAUCUGUUCAAGUGGUGGGAUAAUAAGAUAAGUCUGCUUUGGUUUUCUUUAUGACAGAGCCAUGUUUCUGUUCAUCUACCAAGACAUUAAAGUAAUUCUGCUUCUGUCUUCCUACAGGAGAGAUCCGUAUAUCUUUUCACCUGUUGGGAUACUAAGAUAAGUCUGUUUGCCUUCCUACACAAUGGGGACAUGCAUCUAUUCAUCUGCUCAGACACUAAGGUAGGGAUGCUGAUGUCUUCCUACAGGAUAGGGCCAUGUAUCUCUUCAUCUUACUGGAUACCAAGGUAAAUGUCCUUCUGUCUUCCUACAAGACAGAUCCAUGCUUCUCUUCACUUGCUGGGACACUAAGGUAAGUCUGUUUAUGUCUUUCUACAGAAUGGGGCCAUGCAUCUGUUCA